AGCGAGUGGCGAACGGGGUGAGUAACGCGUGAGGAACCUGCCUCAAAGAGGGGGACAACAGUUGGAAACGACUGCUAAUACCGCAUAAGCCCACAGGUCGGCAUCGACCAGAGGGAAAAGGAGCAAUCCGCUUUGAGAUGGCCUCGCGUCCGAUUAGCUAGUUGGUGAGGUAACGGCCCACCAAGGCAACGAUCGGUAGCCGGACUGAGAGGUUGAACGGCCACAUUGGGACUGAGACACGGCCCAGACUCCUACGGGAGGCAGCAGUGGGGAAUAUUGCACAAUGGGGGAAACCCUGAUGCAGCGACGCCGCGUGGAGGAAGAAGGUCUUCGGAUUGUAAACUCCUGUUGUUGAGGAAGAUAAUGACGGUACUCAACAAGGAAGUGACGGCUAACUACGUGCCAGCAGCCGCGGUAAAACGUAGGUCACAAGCGUUGUCCGGAAUUACUGGGUGUAAAGGGAGCGCAGGCGGGAAGACAAGUUGGAAGUGAAAUCUAUGGGCUCAACCCAUAAACUGCUUUCAAAACUGUUUUUCUUGAGUAGUGCAGAGGUAGGCGGAAUUCCCGGUGUAGCGGUGGAAUGCGUAGAUAUCGGGAGGAACACCAGUGGCGAAGGCGGCCUACUGGGCACCAACUGACGCUGAGGCUCGAAAGUGUGGGUAGCAAACAGGAUUAGAUACCCUGGUAGUCCACACCGUAAACGAUGAUUACUAGGUGUUGGAGGAUUGACCCCUUCAGUGCCGCAGUUAACACAAUAAGUAAUCCACCUGGGGAGUACGACCGCAAGGUUGAAACUCAAAGGAAUUGACGGGGGCCCGCACAAGCAGUGGAGUAUGUGGUUUAAUUCGACGCAACGCGAAGAACUUUACCAAGUCUUGACAUCCUGCGACGCACAUAGAAAUAUGUGUUUCCUUCGGGACGCAGAGACAGGUGGUGCAUGGUUGUCGUCAGCUCGUGUCGUGAGAUGUUGGGUUAAGUCCCGCAACGAGCGCAACCCUUACUGUCAGUUACUACGCAAGAGGACUCUGGCAGGACUGCCGUUGACAAAACGGAG
rnacentral:rRNA from 1 species